rnacentral:rRNA from 1 species
CCCUUAGAUGUUCUGGGCCGCACGCGCGCUACACUGACUGACUCAACGAGUGUACAACCUGCUUCGACAGAAGUGGGUAAUCUUUUGAAAUUCAGUCGUGAUGGGGCUAGAUUAUUGCAACUAUUAAUCUUCAACGAGGAAUGCCUAGUAAGCGCGAAUCAUCAGUUCGCGUUGAUUACGUCCCUGCCCUUUGUACACACCGCCCGUCGCUCCUACCGAUUGAAUGGUCCGGUGAACCCUCCGGAUCGGCUCGCGCCAACGCAAGUUGAGCAAAGGCCGAGAAGUUGGGUAAACCUUACCAUUUAGAGGAAGGUGAAGUCGUAACA